AUUAUUUUUAAUACAUCCUCCAAGUAAAAGCUCUUUGGGUUUGAAACUUGCACAUGUUAACUUUACCUUGUGUUUAAUUUUUAUCAAAUAAAUGAGGAUGGUGAGAUUCAAACUCGUGACCGCUUGGUUAUCAAAACUCUGAUACAAUGUCAAAAAACCAUCUUAAUCUAAUAGUUUAAAUUAUUAGGUAAUUUUU